rnacentral:rRNA from 1 species
GUGGGGAAUUUUGGACAAUGGGGGCAACCCUGAUCCAGCAAUGCCGCGUGCAGGAAGAAGGCCUUCGGGUUGUAAACUGCUUUUGUACGGAACGAAAAGGCUCUGGUUAAUACCUGGGGCUCAUGACGGUACCGUAAGAAUAAGCACCGGCUAACUACGUGCCAGCAGCCGCGGUAAUACGUAGGGUGCAAGCGUUAAUCGGAAUUACUGGGCGUAAAGCGUGCGCAGGCGGUUUUGUAAGACAGACGUGAAAUCCCCGGGCUCAACCUGGGAAUGGCGUUUGUGACUGCAAAGCUGGAGUGCGGCAGAGGGGGAUGGAAUUCCGCGUGUAGCAGUGAAAUGCGUAGAUAUGCGGAGGAACACCGAUGGCGAAGGCAAUCCCCUGGGCCUGCACUGACGCUCAUGCACGAAAGCGUGGGGAGCAAACAGGAUUAGAUACCCUUGUAGUCC